UUUUUAGGAAGCUGCGGAGUUUUAAUGUUAACAGCUGGAGUGUGUGUCAGUGGUUCUCCUGCGAAGAUGGCUGCGCCCGUGGACCUGGAGCUGAAGAAGGUACCGUUCACACAACCUCGAGUCACCUGGUCUCACCUGUCAGUCUGUCUGCAACCAGCCGCAGCGGUGUCAUUAAAACACUGAGUUAGCAGCAGCUAACACCGGAGCUAACUCACAGUUAGCAGCAGCAGCAGCUAACACCGGAGCUAACUCACGGUUAGCAGCAGCAGCAGCAGCUAACACCGGAGCUAACUCACGAUUAGCAGCAGCAGCUAACACCGGAGCUAA